UUUAGCUGAACAAGUCAAAAGUGUCCGGUGGUAACAGCUCAACAAAUAAAGUCUUGGCUAUGUGCUCAACUGAUGUUAUUUCUUGACAAGAUUGGAAAUUAAAAACAAUGAGUAUGUGAGUAAAAUUCCUUUCAUACUCAAAAAAGAAGAAAUUACAAGAACAAAGUUAAGAAGAUUUUAGUUGUGAAGAAGACAUUCUGUUCAUUUUUUUAACUACGUAAUCUACAUAGUUUAAUAAAAAUGUAUUAAUUUUGCUAGUCCA